rnacentral:rRNA from 1 species
AUUGAACGCUGGCGGCGUGCUUAACACAUGCAAGUCGAGCGGUAACAGGUGUAGCAAUACAUGCUGACGAGCGGCGAACGGGUGAGUAAUGCUUCGGAAUCUGCCCAGUAGUGGGGAAUAACCAGUCGAAAGAUUGGCUAAUACCGCAUACGACCUUUGGGUGAAAGCAGGGGAUCGCAAGACCUUGCGCUAUUGGAUGAGCCGAAGUCGGAUUAGCUAGUUGGUAGGGUAACGGCCUACCAAGGCGACGAUCCGUAGCUGGUCUGAGAGGACGACCAGCCACACUGGGACUAAGACACGGCCCAGACUCCUACGGGAGGCAGCAGUGGGGAAUAUUGGACAAUGGGCGAAAGCCUGAUCCAGCGACGCCGCGUGUGUGAAGAAGGCCUGCGGGUUGUAAAGCACUUUUAGUGGGAGGAAAUGCUCAGACCUAACACGUCUGGGAGCUGACUUAACCCAAAGAAAAAGACACCGGCUAAACUCUGUGCCAGCAGCCGCGGUAAU